UUCGUAUGCGGUCUAGCUCCGCUAAGA
rnacentral:piRNA from 1 species